rnacentral:rRNA from 1 species
AACGAACGCUGGCGGCAGGCUUAACACAUGCAAGUCGAACGCUCGUAGCAAUACGGGAGUGGCGGACGGGUGAGUAACGCGUGGGAACGUGCCCUGAGGUACGGAAUAACUGCGGGAAACUGCAGCUAAUACCGUAUGAGCCCCGCAAGGGGGAAAGAUUUAUCGCCUUGGGAGCGGCCCGCGUCGGAUUAGCUAGUUGGUGGGGUAAACGGCCUACCAAGGCUUCGAUCCGUAGCUGGUCUGAGAGGACGAUCAGCCACACUGGGACUGAGACACGGCCCAGACUCCUACGGGAGGCAGCAGUGGGGAAUCUUGCGCAAUGGGGGCAACCCUGACGCAGCCAUGCCGCGUGAAUGAUGAAGGCCUUAGGGUUGUAAAGUUCUUUUGCCCGUGACGAUGAUGACGGUAACGGGAGAAUAAGCUCCGGCUAACUUCGUGCCAGC